UACGUAGGGGGCUAGCGUUGUCCGGAAUCAUUGGGCGUAAAGCGCGUGUAGGCGGUCCGGUAAGUCCGCUGUGAAAGUCGAGGGCUCAACCCUCGAAUGCCGGUGGAUACUGUCGGGCUAGAGUGCGGAAGAGGCGAGUGGAAUUCCUGGUGUAGCGGUGAAAUGCGCAGAUAUCAGGAGGAAUACCAGCGGCGAAGGCGGCGCUCUGGGCCGGUACUGACGCUGAGGAGCGAAAGCGUGGGGAGCAAACAGG
rnacentral:rRNA from 1 species